AUAAAAUAAAAUACAGAUAAGACUCUAACAGCAAUAAUUAAAUUAUACUUGUAUAACUGUCUUGACAAGUCUUUUUGACUGGUAUUCUUUUUUAUUGGCCAUUGCUAACUAACACACUUGCAAUUUACUGUACCUCACUGUCUAUGCAAUUAUCAUUUAGUUUAAUUGUCACAAUGUGACUGUGGCAGAGCUGGGCUUCUGCCUUUGGAAAUACUGGCAGGGAUGGAGUCAAAUUCUCCUCCCUGCCCAGGUUCAUUGCGUCAGGUGGGAGCAAUCAACCAAUUAAUUGUUCAAUUAAGCACUCAGCCACCUGGCAUAAAAGGAGGCCUCAGCCUCCCAUUUUGGUGAGAGAGUUCUGGAAGGAGAAGAAGUGGUUGUCUGUGUGUGCUGUUUUGUUAAGGUUUUGAAACCAGUGAAGGUAAUGCCCAGCCUGGAAGCCGUAUUUUUGUUUGUUUUUAGAUGCUUGUACUAUAGGUGGGCAGGCUCGAGGAGGGCUUCAUGUGGAUUCUGGCACCAAUUCCUUAUCAUCCGCAGAUUCCCCAGCCAUCCUUCUUUGGCACGGCUUUGAGAAGCUGACAAUGGCUCUGCUGAGUUUUAGCCCCUCAAGGUUGGGAGCUGCAAUCCAAUGUGACACUGCCCUCCCUAAUUUUUCCUGCAUGACUAUUUCAUUGAAUUCCAAGGAUAUUAAUAUUCAAAUGCUGUUUAACUUUGAUGUUGCUCAUACAGAGCCUUCUGAUUGUGUUUAUUGGUAUUUUAUGUUAUUGAUGUUUUUUCCUCUCAA